rnacentral:tRNA from 1 species
UCCCUGGUGGUGCAAUGGCUAAAGUCUCUGUACUCCCAAUGUAGGGGGUCCAGGUUCAAUCCCUGGUCAGGGAA